UACGGGGGGGUAAGCGUUGUUCGGAAUUACUGGGCGUAAAGGGCUCGUAGGCUGCCAACUAAGUCAGACGUGAAAUCCCUCAGCUUAACUGGGGAACUGCGUCUGAUACUGGAUGGCUUGGAUUCGGGAGAGGAAUGCGGAAUUCCAGGUGUAGCGGUGAAAUGCGUAGAUAUCUGGAGGAACACCGGUGGCGAAGGCGGCAUUCUGGACCGACAUUGACGCUGAGGAGCGAAAGCCAGGGGAGCAAACGGG
rnacentral:rRNA from 1 species